CCUGUAUAACGUAGGUAGAUGAGGUACAUACCUGUAUAACGUAGGUAGAUGACGUGCAUACCUGUAUAACGUAGGUAGAUGAGGUGCAUACCUGUAUAACGUAGGUAGAUGACCUACAUACCAAUAUAACGUAGGUAGAUGACCUACAUACCUAUAUAACGUAGGUAGAUGACCUACAUACCUGUAUAACGUAGGUAGAUGACGUGCAUACCUGUAUAACGUACAUGACUUAAUGACGCAGUGGAAAACUUUGCUCUAGACGUGCAACACAGCAUUCCUAACUUAGCCCACAAUGUCUGCUGUGUGGAUCGAGCAGUCAACAAGUCGAGUAGUCAUUUGAAAGAGUAAGAACAUUUUAGCGAGACAACUCAAAAGGUGAUCCAUUUACCCCAAGAUAAUGGAAUUCAUUGUCCUUGAUAAUCAACUGUUCUCUGUCGUGGGUGAUGUUGGCGAUCGCGACAUGGUCGAUGCAGCGGUACACACUACCAAGUGCUCUAUUUUUUCAGAUGUUGCCCUACCAGAGUUACAUGUCAUGACGGGGCCCUUUCAAGGUGUAGAUCGUAGCUUCCCUCCC
ensembl:lncRNA